rnacentral:rRNA from 1 species
AUUGAACGCUGGCGGCAGGCCUAACACAUGCAAGUCGAACGGUAACAGGAAGAAGCUUGCUUCUUUGCUGACGAGUGGCGGACGGGUGAGUAAUGUCUGGGAAACUGCCUGAUGGAGGGGGAUAACUACUGGAAACGGUAGCUAAUACCGCAUAAUGUCGCAAGACCAAAGAGGGGGACCUUCGGGCCUCUUGCCAUCGGAUGUGCCCAGAUGGGAUUAGCUAGUAGGUGGGGUAACGGCUCACCUAGGCGACGAUCCCUAGCUGGUCUGAGAGGAUGACCAGCCACACUGGAACUGAGACACGGUCCAGACUCCUACGGGAGGCAGCAGUGGGGAAUAUUGCACAAUGGGCGCAAGCCUGAUGCAGCUAUGCCGCGUGUAUGAAGAAGGCCUUCGGGUUGUAAAGUACUUUCGGCGGGGAGGAAGGGAGUAAAGUUAAUACCUUUGCUCAUUGACGUUACCCGCAGAAGAAGCACCGGCUAACUCCGUG